AACGAACGCUGGCGGCAUGCCUAACACAUGCAAGUCGAACGAGACCUUCGGGUCUAUUGGCGCACGGGUGCGUAACGCGUGGGAACCUGCCCUUAGGUUCGGAAUAACUCCCCGAAAGGGGUACUAAUACCGGAUAAUGUCUACGGACCAAAGAUUUAUCGCCUUUGGAUGGGCCCGCGUUGGAUUAGCUAGUUGUUAGGGUAAAAGCCUACCAAGGCGACGAUCCAUAGCUGGUCUGAGAGGAUGAUCAGCCACACUGGGACUGAGACACGGCCCAGACUACUACGGGAGGCAGCAGUGGGGAAUAUUGGACAAUGGGCGAAAGCCUGAUCCAGCAAUGCCGCGUGAGUGAUGAAGGCCUUAGGGUUGUAAAGCUCUUUUACCCGGGAUGAUAAUGACAGUACCGGGAGAAUAAGCUCCGGCUAACUCCGUG
rnacentral:rRNA from 1 species